GAUGAACGCUGGCGGCGUGCCUAAUACAUGCAAGUCGAGCGAACAGACGAGGAGCUUGCUCCUCUGAUGUUAGCGGCGGACGGGUGAGUAACACGUGGAUAACUUACCUAUAAGACUGGGAUAACUUCGGGAAACCGGAGCUAAUACCGGAUAACAUGUUGAACCGCAUGGUUCAACAGUGAAAGACGGUCUUGCUGUCACUUAUAGAUGGAUCCGCGCCGCAUUAGCUAGUUGGUAAGGUAACGGCUUACCAAGGCAACGAUGCGUAGCCGACCUGAGAGGGUGAUCGGCCACACUGGAACUGAGACACGGUCCAGACUCCUACGGGAGGCAGCAGUAGGGAAUCUUCCGCAAUGGGCGAAAGCCUGACGGAGCAACGCCGCGUGAGUGAAGAAGGUCUUCGGAUCGUAAAACUCUGUUAUUAGGGAAGAACAAAUGUGUAAGUAACUAUGCACGUCUUGACGGUACCUAAUCAGAAAGCCACGGCUAACUACGUG
rnacentral:rRNA from 1 species